rnacentral:rRNA from 1 species
UACGAAGGGGGCGAGCGUUGUUCGGAAUCACUGGGCGUAAAGGGCUCGUAGGCGGCCAACUAAGUCGGAUGUGAAAUCCCCAGGCUUAACCUGGGAACUGCAUCCGAUACUGGAUGGCUUGAAUCCGGGAGAGGGAUGCAGAAUUCCAGGUGUAGCGGUGAAAUGCGUAGAUAUCUGGAGGAAUACCGGUGGCGAAGGCGGCAUCCUGGACCGGCAUUGACGCUGAUGAGCGAAAGCUAGGGGAGCAAACGGG